rfam:Salmo salar isolate Sally breed double haploid chromosome ssa16, whole genome shotgun sequence.
AAUGCACCAAUUUGUAAGUCGCUCUGGAUAAGAGCGUCUGCUAAACGACUAAAA